CGCCCUCUGCCAAGAGGACACAACCGUUCAUGCCUGGAUAUGCAGCUCCACAGAUGCGUUGACCUCUGGAGGCCGAAUUACAGUCUGCUUAUGAGAAGCAGCGGUGUUGAGCUCAGCUCGCUAAAAAUGCAACAUCCAAAAUAAUGUCGUCAGGAACUUCACUCCCACGAGAUGCUUGCUGGAAGAGGAUCUUUGGUCAUAUGAGGAAACCAAGGGUCAGCAAGGCCGCAGAGUGGCUCUCAGUUACUGAGAUUCCAAAUUCUUUGACACAACCACACUUCAGCUGCCUCCCUGCGGAUGGAAAGACCCGUAUAAGAGACUGACUCCUCUGUCUGCCAAGGGGAUGCUUCCUUUCCUCAAAGAGAGAAAGACAGAGCAUGAGCAGGGAAGGGGCAGAGAGAGAGGGAGACACAGAACGUGAAGCAGGCUCCAGGCUCCGAGCUGUCAGCACAGAGCCCGACGCGGGGCUCGAACCCACGAACUGUGAGAUCAUGACCUGAGCCGAAGUCGGACUCUCAACCGACGGAGCCACCCAGGCGCCCCGUCCUUUUGCUUCUCUUGCAUAAGUCCUUUCAGGAAAGGGUCCACUAGCUUCGUCCUACUUUUGAUCUAAAAUUUACCUGGAAUUCUCUACCUGGGGCGAAACGUGGCUCUUCUGUAGCCGCUGGAUGUGGAUAUGGACACAGCCUCCACCCGGAGCUGCCAGACCACCAGCAGACACAGCUGGCACAAGCCCGCCCUGAGCAAUGUCCCUCCUGGUGCCCGGGGCCGAGGGUGGGAGGUGGCGGUGGCUCCAGUCCGUCGCAAGGAAAAUGCCACUGGAAGAAAGCCGGGUUCGUGGGUCGGAGUACGUAGAAGGAUUUUGCCUUGAGUGAGACACUUACAAAUUACUAAAACAAGACAGAUAACUUGCCUAAUUCAUGUUAACUUUAAAAAUGUAUCCCAACCGUUUGGAUGGUUUACCACCUCUUGGAGAGAGAAACAUUUUUUAACUUCCUGUGAUCAUUUGACGCGGAAUAUAUAUUAUUUGUAUAAUAGGAGAAGUUAUUUUUACAUUAGCUCUUACCAUCUGCUAAGCAUAACCCAAUCACUCAUUAAGCUUCCGUUGGCUGUUUUCUAACUAAUGAUGACCACUGAACUGGCAGAAUUGAUAUUUGAACCACAGAAACUCACCAUAAUACAAGCUGUGUAUUUUUUCAGUUAAGUACCUUCCAAAAAGAAGAGGGGAUUGGUUAUGGUUAUCCUAACUGCUGAGUGAACAUCUCCUGCUUAAAUUCGACAUUUUCUUUUUUUUUUUUUUUUAACGUUUAUUUAUUUUUGAGAGAGAGAGAGAAAGAGUGUGAGCGGGAGGGGCAGAGAGAGAAGGAGACAUGGAAUCGGAAGCAGGUUCCAGGCUCUGAGCUGUGUCAGCACAGAGCCCGACGAGGGGCUCGAACUCACAAACCGCGAGAUCAUGACCUGAGCUGAAGUUAGACCCUUAACUGACGGAGCCAGCCAGGUGCCCCAAUUCAACAUUUUCAAACACAAACUCUGUAACUGCCCCUCUGCUUCAACUCUCACACUACCUAUCUUGUUUAAGCUGGAAGCUGGGAGUCUCUCUGACUCCUCCCCGGACCACUGACUUGGUCUGGUCACUUAUGGUCAAAAAAUGGCUCUGAACCACAGUCCACUGCUUUCCCAUUACCGUUUCUGGAUUCAGGGUUUCAACUUUUUACCUAGACAAUUCCAAUACCUCAUGACUGGUCCCCCAGCUUCUAGCCUUUCCUCACUCUGGUCCUUCUACACUCAUUCAUUCAUUCAUUCAUUCAUUCAACAAACGUGGCUCAAAUGCUGGCAACAGACAAAAUCCUCUGCCCACGUGGAGCUCACAUUCAUGCAGCGGGAGCCAGAUGGCAUAACAUACGAAGUUAGUAAUGGAAGGCCACUGUGAAAACAUUAGCCCUUGCUCCGAGAUAAAUGAGGAGCCACUGGAAGGUUGUAAGCAGCAUGACCUGACUUAGUUUUAAAAGGAUCAUUCUUCACUGGAUGGAGAAUAGGCCGGGGGUGGGGGAGCAAGGGUUGAAACAGCCCUAGGAGGCUCUAGGCAUCUAGGCCUCCAGGCAGUGACCUAGAUGGUAAUCACAGAGAUGAGGUGUCUUGGACCAGGACGGUAGCAAAGCAUCAGAUCCUGUAUAGAUGUUGAAUGUGGAGCCAGUGGAAUUUGCUAACAGACCAGAUGUGGAGCGCAAAGAGAAAUAAAGUGUCACUGAUGAUGACUCCAGCGUGUUUGGCCUGAGUGAGUUGAAGGAUGAAAUGGCACGAGCUGAGUCAGAAGGACCAUAGAGGAACGGGUUUGGUGAGAGAUAUCAGGAGCUCGGUUUUGCAUGUUAAAUCUGAGACAAUUAUGAGACAACUAAAUGAAGAUAUUGACAAAGCCGUGGGGUAAAUAAGCCUGGGGCGUCAGUGGAGAGAGAUCUGGACUAGAAAUAGAAAGUUGAUGGCUGUCAGUAUGUAGAUGGAUGAGCUCCGAGGAGUGAGUGUAGACAGAGAGGAGGAGGGGGCCAAGAUCCGAGUCCUGGGACAUAGCAGCAUGAAGAGUCUGGGGUAAGAGGGGAAUCAAUAAAGGGAGCAAAAGGAGGGGCACCUGGGUGGCUUAGUUGGUUAAGCGACCGACUUCGGCUCAGGUCAUGAUCUCGCAGUUUGUGAGAUCGAGCCCCGUGUCGGGUUCUGUGCUGACAGCUCAGCCUGCUUUCGAUUCUGUGUCGCCCCCUCCCCUGUUCACACUCUGUGUCUCUCUGUCUCUCAAUAAUAAAUAAACGUUAAAAAAUUUUUUUAAAUAAAUAAAGGGCGCAAAAGGAGCAAGCAGUGAGAUAGGAAGAAAUCUAGGGGUGUGUGAGUUCCUGGGAGCCAAGUGAAGAAAGUAUUUCUAGGAGCCGGGAGAGGUCAGGUUACACAGCAAUUAUUAGUAACACAGAGGCUUUCAAGAUCUUGAUCAGAGCCGUUUCGGUGGAGCCCAGGGAGAAAAAACCUGGUUGGAGUGGAUUUACGGCAGAGGACAAGAGGAGGAAUUGUUGACAUUAACUAUGACACCUCUUUCAAGGAGUUUUGCAGAGAGGAGAGAAAUAGGACAGUGGCUGGAAGGAGAGAUGGGGUCAAGAGAGGGUUUCUCAAGAUAGAAAGAAUAACAGCAUAUCUAUAGGUUAAUGGCAAUGAUGCCGU